UUAAAUUGAAGAGUUUGAUCAUGGCUCAGAUUGAACGCUGGCGGCAGGCCUAACACAUGCAAGUCGAGCGGUAGCACAGAGAGCUUGCUCUCGGGUGACGAGCGGCGGACGGG
rnacentral:rRNA from 1 species